rnacentral:lncRNA from 1 species
UGGCUUAACUGGGACCAAAAAUUCCGAUACUUUGGUGGCCCAAUUACAGAAUUACUACAGACUACUUGAGGGGAAAUGGCAGGACUAAAUUGAUUUAGUUUAAAGUUAGCUGCUGUAAAGUUCCCAAAAGUAAAAUUUUCGUGGUUCUUUUUCUUUUCUUUUUUUCCCUGCUUUUCUCGGUCCAUAGGUUUCACGGAGAAAAGUUGACAGAUUAGACAGUUUUCUUUACUUAUCACUAGGUCGUGCUAACUAACUGCUAAGCUAGCAAGAGAAGCCCAAAAGUGGGCGCCGGCGAAAAGUGGACGACGGGCUGAAUCAAGGUUAUGCAAGGCAAUGACCCUAAGUUCCAUUGCUUCUUAGUAUGUAACUAUGUAUGGUAUUCCUUAUGGGGCUGUAGACCCAAACUCUGUUUCUUUUCUCAAUUUUUCGGGUGCUUUUUCUUUUCUUCUUUGGUUGUUCCUUAGGGCCGAGAAGGUCUUUCUGAGGAAUGUACGUACCGCAGAGUUGUAGGUCCUUGAAUGUAUACCUUGAUUUAUGAGUGCUAACAGGGGUAUGUAGUACUACAUACAUAGACACUGGCAAAAUAUUGUAUUUCUUCAUUGUCAACGAUUGCUAUGUAACUGCCAGUUUUCCAUUGUUAAUCUAUCGAUCUGACGAUGGAUCAUGCCAUCCAUGGGAUUGGCACCCACGAUUUGGAGUGGAUUGUGGAACCAUCAGGGUGGAUCAAGCCAACUACGUACAUGUGCAGGUAACACUACCUAUUUCAAUGUGUCUAGUACGUAGUAGGCUGUAUUUCAGAAAUAUACGUUGAAUCAUCCAUACUACGUAGUAGACUCGAAGAUUGCUGGGGGGGAUUCCAAUUGCAAAGAACAGGAAACAGACUCAGAUCGGAUCGAUUGGUUAAUUCGUUAAAUUAGUCGCAAACUUAAUUGCCAGCUACUGCGAACCACACUGUAAGACUAACUGUACAUACUUAACUCCGUCUGUACAUAUUUGGACUAGUGGGCGUAUCUAGAUGGUAUUCCAACACGGAGCUCCACGGAGUAAUCGGCGUGUUGUUAGGGCUUUGGCUACAUAAGCGUCCUGACUACGGAGUACUAGCGGAACCUCCGGUGGAGCUUCAACGAGAAUAGGCAUAGCUGGGUUUUUUCUCGCCAUCUUCAGAAUUGGAAUGACGAUCGUGUCAAUAU